CACGUAGGGCGCAAGCGUUGUCCGGAAUUAUUGGGCGUAAAGAGCUCGUAGGCGGUCUGUUGCGUCCGCUGUGAAAACUCGGGGCUUAACCCCGAGCCUGCAGUGGAUACGGGCAGACUAGAGGUAGGUAGGGGAGAAUGGAAUUCCCGGUGUAGCGGUGAAAUGCGCAGAUAUCGAGAGGAACACCUGCGGCGAAGGCGGGUUGCUGGGCUGACACUGACGCUGAUGCACGAAAGCGUGAGGAGCAAACAGG
rnacentral:rRNA from 1 species